rnacentral:lncRNA from 1 species
UCUCUCCAACAGUUCAAAAAGCAAUCGGCAUAAAGGACAUUAAUCGAGUUGGCGCCGAGAGCAUCACAUAUAAGUUGAUUCUCACACACAAAGACCUUCAGAAAGUCCAGAGUUGUCUCUUCAGCUACCAAGGAGACUAAGUUCUUCAAGGCAAGCAGAAAACGUGUUCAGAGUUUGUCCAGCUCUGUGCUCUGCACUGCCAACACAGCUGGGUAUUGCUGUACCAGGAAGGAACAUCGGCCUUGGCUGAAUUGGGUGCACUCAUGCAGUGUUUUAUGGAAGAGCUGAUGACUGGCAGCCAAGACAUCCACCUUUGGUGAACCCUUAAAGCCACCGAGCUGUUGCACUCACUGUUCUACCACAAGCCUCAGCCUGCCAAGAGCUGGGACUGUGCAUCCCACUAGCUUCCCAGGGCUGGACCUAAGGAUGGAAUAAAUAAAUACAACGGGC